AGUCCAGCUAUUCCUAGGAAGUAUCAGUGCCUUUUUCCCAUACUACUGCCAGAACUGGAUGAUUCACAGGCUGGUAAGCCUUUGCAAAUCUAAAAAUACAAGGCUUUAAGAAGACGUUUGUCAUUUCUUAUGUUGAAUGAAUAACACUGGCCUCCAAAAUGUCACCACAAGAAGCCACAACUAAACAAGACGUUUGACAAUUCACCGAGGUCAAUAGCACUUUGAAGGAAGUGAAGAGGGGAACGUGAUGGAGACUUAGGCGUUGCUGAGAGCAUCUUGAGGCUAUUGCAUCUAGCCUUUUUUCCAUGAAGGGCUCAUGGAUGCUAUAACUGAGAAAAAGUUUUCUAUUCAGUGUGGACACAAACAAAUUGGCUGGGUGUGAAACCCUGGAGUCAUACUUCUUCCCCCCAGUCUUUGGAGAAUAGUGUUUCUCAAAGUGUGGUUUU